rnacentral:rRNA from 1 species
GCCGAACCCUGGCGGCGUGCCUCAUACAUGCAAGUCGAGCGCAGGAAACUGACGGAACUCUUCGGAGGGAAGGCAGUGGCAUGAGCGGCGGACGGGUGAGUAACACGUAAGUAACCUGCCCCAAGGCUUGGCAUACCUCCGAGAAAUCGGAGCCAAUACCGGAUAACUCAACGGACCGCAUGGUCCGCUGACGAACGGUGCGCCGGCGUCACCUUGAGAUGGCCUUGGGGUGCAUUAGCUAGUUGGUGGGGUAACGGCCCACCCAGGCGACGAUGCAUAGCCGAGCUGGGAGGGUGAUCGGCCACACUGGGACUGAGACACGGCCCAGACUCCUACGGGAGGCAGCAGUAGGGAAUCUUCCACAAUGGACGAAAGUCUGAUGGAGCAACGCCGCGUGAGUGAUGAAGGUUUUCGGAUCGUAAAACUCUGUUGUAAGGGAAGAACACGUACGAGAGGGAAUGCUCGUACCUUGACGGUACCUUACGAGAAAGCCACGGCUAACUACGUGCCAGCAGCCGCAGUAAUAC